GCCAGCAGCUAUGUCACCCUGCAGCUCUCAACUGGCUACCCACUGAAGCUAAGCAGUUGAGCGGUUGAGCCUGGUCAGUACCUGGCUGGGAGACCUCCUGGGAAGCUAUGGUUGCUCCUGGAA
rnacentral:rRNA from 1 species